GAGAUUGGAGCAAUCAGCCACAAUUCUUCCACUUUUGCUUCGAUUUUAGUUCCCGAAAUUGAAGUCAUCAGCUAAAAGGAGUUUGUUCGAGCUCUGGGAAUUUGGAUCCACAUUUUGAAGGAUUUGGAAGGAUUUUGAGGGAUCGAGGAGGUAGCUGUGUGAUGGGGGUGGAUUACUACAAUGUGUUGAAGGUGAACAGAAAAGCGAAUGAAGAGGAUCUGAAGAGGUCCUACAAGAGGUUGGCUAUGAAAUGGCAUCCUGAUAAGAAUCCUUUGAACAAGAAAGAGGCGGAGUCUAAGUUCAAGCAGAUAUCUGAGGCAUAUGAUGUUUUGAGCGACGCUAAGAAGCGUCAGAUCUACGAUCUUUACGGCGAGGAGGCUCUCAAAUCUACUGAUUUUGUUCCUCCAGCCAAUUCCAAUCCUUCUUUUUCCUAUGUCCCUCGAGAUGCAGAUGACAUUUUCGCCGAGUUGUUCGGCGGGGCUGGGAGUGCUAAGAGCCGAGGGUUUGGGGGAGAGAGUGUGUUUAGGAAUGGUAAGGCGGAGGCUGGGAAGCAAACGAAUAAGAAAGCAUCGCCAAUUGAGAGCAAGUUAAUGUGUAGCUUGGAAGAGCUUUACAGAGGUUCUAGGAGGAAGAUGAAGAUUUCCCGCAUUGUCCCUGAUGAAUUUGGGAAGCCGAAAACUGUUGAUGAAGUGUUAAAAAUCGAUAUCAAGCCUGGUUGGAAGAAGGGGACAAAAAUCACUUUCCCUGAGAAAGGCAAUCAAGAGCCUGGGGUCGCCCCUGCUGAUCUUAUAUUUAUCAUCGAUGAGAAACCGCAUCCUGUGUUUGAAAGGGAUGGUAAUGAUUUGGUAGUGAAUCAGAAACUAUCUCUACUAGAAGCACUAACCGGAAAGACAUUGAACUUUACAACUUUGGAUGGAAGAAAUCUCACGACCGUUACUGAUAUUGUCAAACCGGGUUACGAGGUAGUGAUCCAGAAUGAAGGAAUGCCCAUCUCUAAAGAACCAAACAAGAAGGGGAAUCUUAGAAUCAAGUUUGACAUAGUUUUCCCAUCAAAGCUUACUUUUGAUCAGAAAUCCGAUCUAAGAAGGGCUUUGGGUGGUUCUGAUUAAGAAGCUGAGUCCAGGAGCGGUCACAACAACGAACCUUCUACACAGGGGAUCGAUAAUACAAGCUCAAAAACAUGUCCUCCCUCCUGGCUCCGACCACUUUAUCGACUACUUUCCCGUUCUUAAGCAGUAUGAAUGUUGGCAUUGCCUCUACGCCAUAUUCCUUAGCGACAUCCUGCGUUGUCAUCCAUUUUUUCAGCAGUCAUGUUUCAACAUACCCACUCAACCAAUAUCAAACACAAAGACAAGACAAGAUUGAAAGCUCGACCAUACCGCCAAUUUAUCGACGUCGAUUUUGAUGAACUCAACAUCCUUGAACCUUGCAGCAAACUCCUUGAUGAUCGGCUCCAUGUGUCGACAAGGUGCACACCAUGCAGCAGUGAAAUCAAUCACCAUCUACAACAAACCAGCAGCACAAACAAAUCACAAAGCAAAAAACAGCUGCUUGUCAACGACAAAUCCGAAGCA